rnacentral:rRNA from 5 species
AAAUUGAAGAGUUUGAUCAUGGCUCAGAUUGAACGCUGGCGGCAGGCCUAACACAUGCAAGUCGAACGGUAGCACAGAGAGCUUGCUCUCGGGUGACGAGUGGCGGACGGGUGAGUAAUGUCUGGGAAACUGCCUGAUGGAGGGGGAUAACUACUGGAAACGGUGGCUAAUACCGC